rnacentral:rRNA from 1 species
GACGAACGCUGGCGGCGUGCUUAACACAUGCAAGUCGAACGGAAAGGCCCUGCUUUUGUGGGGUGCUCGAGUGGCGAACGGGUGAGUAACACGUGAGUAACCUGCCCUUGACUUUGGGAUAACUUCAGGAAACUGGGGCUAAUACCGGAUAGGAGCUCCUGCUGCAUGGUGGGGGUUGGAAAGUUUCGGCGGUUGGGGAUGGACUCGCGGCUUAUCGGCUUGUUGGUGGGGUAGUGGCUUACCAAGGCUUUGACGGGUAGCCGGCCUGAGAGGGUGACCGGCCACAUUGGGCCUGGGAUGCGGCCCAGACUCCUACGGGAGGCAGCAGUGGGGAAUAUUGCACAAUGGGCGGAAGCCGGAUGCAGCAACGCCGCGUGCGGGAUGACGGCCUUCGGGUUGUAAACCGCUUUCGCCUGUGACGAAGCGUGAGUGACGGUAAUGGGUAAAGAAGCACCGGCUAACUACGU